rnacentral:lncRNA from 11 species
ACUCUCAGCUGGUAUCAAGCCUUCCUUCAUUCUCUUCUUCUGUUUCAUCCUUCUGUUUUGGAACCAAAUUUUCACUUGUGUUUCGUUUAGUUGCAACGCUGACGCGAUUUCAAUACGUCUCGCUCUAGUCAGCUACCUGCGAUACCGGCCAUAGGUCCACCGGUAAGGCAGUUCACUGGACCGUUCGCCGUGGUGGCGUACGGAGACGCGUUCCCACCAGUGCUGCCGCCAUAUUCUCCGACAUUUGGAUUUGUCUUUGCUGCUGCAACAAAUUUAAAUUUUUCUUUUUAUUUGAAAAACUUUUUUACAAGAUGUCAAUGCCCUUCGUACGUGUCAAACGUGUACAAGAAAGAGGUUAAAAGUAAUCUAUACAGGAUGAAACUCAACUUUGGUCCACCAAUCGACAGCCGUUUGUUGUCCAACACAGCUGGUCAGUGUUCUAAGGAGUGAACCUGUCCACCCUCUAUCGAAGACCGAUAGGGUUAAGCCCUAAAUCUGGAUCAAAUUGCAUCAGCUGUUGUCAAAAAUUCAACGAGUAUUCGAAAAAUUCUUGAAAAAGAAAGAGAGAGAGUAUAUGGAAUGAAAUGAUAUGACGAAAAGCAGAGCGCAACAUAAUCGGUUCCAAGAAGAAGGAGGCUAAAGUGGAAAGCGAUCGACGAAGUCGAUUCGAAGGUUGCCUCGAUACGUGACGCGACGUCGUAAAACGGGAGUCGGUGCAAGAAGGCGCGUGGAUAUCGCGAGUAUCGUAAGAUUGAAAUGUUAAAAACGAAAAACACAGGUAAGAUUGAUUUUUUCUUCUGUUCCUUAAAAUAAUUUAUUAUAUUUUUCUCAGUGUUACUCGUUUCGAGACUAUGAUGGAACCAACGAUUUCUUCGAUUUUAUUAUAUUCGAAGUCUAUCGUAGAUUAUUCUUUCCAAGCUUACGUAUUUAAUUCUCCACGAAGAAGGAAAAAUGAAUUUGAAAAAUUAUCGAUCAAAACGAAGGAUGGAAAGCUCCAAAGCCAUCGUUGGAGAAGAGGCGAAGGAAGAGAGAAGUGUAACGAGAUGGGCGGAGCAGGAGUGGAGCAGAAGGGGAGGGAGGGAGAGUUUUCGGGCAGAUUUUGGCCGUGGAGAAGUUUUUUGGUUGGCCGGGGGACGCACAAUAGCAUCCCGUACCAUUUUUUCCCUCGUUGCCUCCAUAAUGCACGCCCCAUGCGGGGGGUGCAGGAGGGCGUCUGCGGGACGACGCGUGUUGCGUGGACCACCCUUCUUCCCGUCGAGAAGGAAGGGGAGAGGGGAGCGGAGGGCGUCGCACGAGGCGCACGCUGUCAGCCCCUUCCCGAUUUAUCAUUAUAUAUACCGUUCCAUUUCUUCUCUCUGUCUGCCACUGUCUCUGUCUCUCUCUCUCUGUGAUUGGGAUUGGUGGAAGAGAAAGAGGAGCGACCCUCUUGCAUUUAAGAGAGACGUUUCCCGAUUCCCGUUUCGAUCGUCUUCUCGAAAAGAGAAGAUUGGAAGAGGGGGAUAUUGGUGGAUAUUAUUUUUUUGAAGGUUUUUAGAGAGAAUUUGGAGAGUUGUUUCUUUCAAAGGGGAGAAUCUGGAAUGAGAAUUAUAAAGGGAGGAAGGUUGAGGAAAAGGAGGAUAUUUUCUCAAGAAAUGAUUGAUUGAUUGUUUAAAAUAAUCAAUAAGGAGACAAUUUUUUCACGAUUGGAAGAGAAUCUUGUUUGAAUUAUUAAGAAAUUUUUUUUAACGUAAGAAUUGUAAUUAAUUCAUUUCUUAUUUCAGAGUGCUUUUGGAUGUACUUGUCUUAACAAAAUGAACUUCAUUACUUUUGUUUAAGUAGAAGAAUCAAUUCUAAUUUUCAAUCACAACAUCUUGUUGCAAAUAUAAAAUCAACAAAAAAUGAUAGCUAAUUAAUUAUAUUCAAAAUUUAAUUCUCAUUUCUAAUUUCAGAGUAUUUUUGAAUCCUAACAAAGAGAAAAUAAACUUCACUACUUUUGCUCAAGAAGAGUCAAUUCUAAUUUUCAAUCACAACAUCUUGUGAAACCAAUAACUUACUCAAGUGAAUGUAUAUUCAAAUAAGAAUUCUAUUUAAUUAUAUUCAAAAUUUAAUUCAUUUCUUAUUUCAGAGUGCUUUUGGGUGUACUUGUCUUAACAAAGAGAAAAUGAACUUUACUAUUUUUGUUCAAGUAGAAGAGUCAAUUCUAAUUUUCAAUCACAACAUCUUGUCAAACCAAUAACUUACAAAAAAUGAUAGCUAAUUAAUUAUAUUCAAAAUUAUUAAUUCAUUUCUUAUUUCAGAAUACUUUUGAAUCUACAUGUCUUAACAAAGAGAAAAUAAAUUUUGCUAUUUUUGCUCAAGUAGAAGAGUCAAUUCUAAUUUUCAAUCACAACAUCUUACAAAAAAUGAUAGCUAAUUAAUUAUAUUCAAAAUUUAAUUCAUUUCUUAUUUCAGAGUGCUUUUGGAUGUACUUGUCUUAACAAAGAGAAAAUGAAUUUUACUAUUUUUGCUCAAGUAGAAGAGUCAAUUCUAAUUUUCAAUCACAACAUCUUGUCAAACUUACCAAUAACUCAUUUAAGUGAAUGUAUAUUCAAAUAAGAAUUCUAUUUAAUUAUAUUCAAAAUUUAAUUCAUUUUUAAUUUUCUAAUUUCAGAGUUUUUGAGUCUUAACAAAGAGAAAAUAAACUUCACUACUUUUGCUCAAGUAAAAGAGUCCAAUUCUAAUUUUCAAUCACAACAUCUUGCAAUAUAAAAUCAUGUUGCAAAUAUAAAAUCAUGUGCAAUCAUCGAUGGAAGAUCGUUAAAUUCUACUUUCACAUGAAUAAUUUAUUGCAUAUAUCGUUGCAAAUAUAAACAGUUCUCAGAAGGGGACAAUUUGUUUAAACUCUGGUUGGAGUGUCGCGACACGGCUCAAUUGCCGCUCGUUGACGACGCUUUACGCAAGUCGGUGGAUCUGGAAUGGCGGCGGCCGCCGGCCGACCACGCUUUGCCAAGCGGGAGAUUUUCGCCUGGGUGGUGAGCGACGAAAUGAAGAUUGACGGACAAGUAAAAAUGUUGGCGUUACUCAUUGGCCGACGACCUACUGCCUUUGAAACGCAAACCAACGCGUAACGAGAUUAAUAAAACGUGACACGUAA